AUUAUUGGGCGUAAAGAGCUCGUAGGCGGUUUGUCGCGUCUGCUGUGAAAAACCCCGAGGCUCAACCUCGGGCCUGCAGUGGGUACGGGGCAGACUAGAGUGCGGUAGGGGAGAUUGGAAUUCCUGGUGUAGCGGUGGAAUGCGCAGAUAUCAGGAGGAACACCGAUGGCGAAGGCAGAUCUCUGGGCCGUAACUGACGCUGAGGAGCGAAAGGGUGGGGAGCAAACAGGCUUAGAUACCCUGGUAGUCCACCCCGUAAACGUUGGGAACUAGUUGUGGGGACCAUUCCACGGUUUCCGUGACGCAGCUAACGCAUUAAGUUCCCCGCCUGGGGAGUACGGCCGCAAGGCUAAAACUCAAAGGAAUUGACGGGGACCCGCACAAGCGGCGGAGCAUGCGGAUUAAUUCGAUGCAACGCGAAGAACCUUACCAAGGCUUGACAUAUAGAGGAAACGGCUGGAAACAGUCGCCCCGCAAGGUCUCUAUACAGGUGGUGCAUGGUUGUCGUCAGCUCGUGUCGUGAGAUGUUGGGUUAAGUCCCGCAACGAGCGCAACCCUCGUUCUAUGUUGCCAGCACGUAAUGGUGGGAACUCAUGGGAUACUGCCGGGGUCAACUCGGAGGAAGGUGGGGAUGACGUCAAAUCAUCAUGCCCCUUAUGUCUUGGGCUUCACGCAUGCUACAAUGGCCGGUACAAAGGGCUGCAAUACCGUGAGGUGGAGCGAAUCCCAAAAAGCCGGUCCCAGUUNCGGAUUGAGGUCUGCAACUCGACCUCAUGAAGUCGGAGUCGCUAGUAAUCGCAGAUCAGCAACGCUGCGGUGAAUACGUUCCCGGGUCUUGUACACACCGCNCCGUCAAGUCAUGAAAGUCGGUAACACCUGAAGCCGGUGGCCCAACCCUUGUGGAG
rnacentral:rRNA from 1 species